UACGUAGGGUCCGAGCGUUGUCCGGAAUUACUGGGCGUAAAGAGCUCGUAGGUGGUUUGUCGCGUUGUUCGUGAAAACUCACAGCUCAACUGUGGGCGUGCGGGCGAUACGGGCAGACUAGAGUACUGCAGGGGAGACUGGAAUUCCUGGUGUAGCGGUGGAAUGCGCAGAUAUCAGGAGGAACACCGGUGGCGAAGGCGGGUCUCUGGGCAGUAACUGACGCUGAGGAGCGAAAGCGUGGGGAGCGAACCGG
rnacentral:rRNA from 1 species